ACCUACAAGUCGAGCAGGGUCGAAAGACGGACUUAGUGAUCCGGUGGUUCCGCAUGGAAGGGCCAUCGCUCAACGGAUAAAAGCUACCCCGGGGAUAACAGGCUUAUCUCCCCCAAGAGUUCACAUCGACGGGGAGGUUUGGCACCUCGAUGUCGGCUCAUCGCAUCCUGGGGCUGUAGUCGGUCCCAAGGGUUGGGCUGUUCGCCCAUUAAAGCGGUACGCGAGCUGGGUUCAGAACGUCGUGAGACAGUUCGGUCCCUAUCCGUCGUGGGCGUAGGAAAUUUGAGAGGAGCUGUCCUUAGUACGAGAGGACCGGGAUGGACAUACCUCUGGUGUACCAGUUGUCGUGCCAACGGCAUAGCUGGGUAGCUAUGUGUGGACGGGAUAAGUGCUGAAAGCAUCUAAGCAUGAAGCCCCCCUCAAGAUGAGAUUUCCCAACUUCGGUUAUAAGAUCCCUCAAAGAUGAUGAGGUUAAUAGGUUCGAGGUGGAAGCAUGGUGACAUGUGGAGCUGACGAAUACUAAUCGAUCGAAGACUUAAUCAAAA
rnacentral:rRNA from 1 species